UUGUUAUUACAUUUUUAGGUUCUUAAAUUUGGCUAUUAGAACCGUUACCUACGAAGAUGGAUAUAAGUUUGGUCAUUAUAUACUUUGAUAGCUGUACUAGAACUUAUGGGGUCAAUCAGCUAUCUUCAAGGUAAAUCUCUAUGUUUGAUUUGAUUAUCAUAUUCUUGACGUGAACUUCCGUCAGACGGAACUUUCUUUGGUACAUUUAUGUCCGAUAUGCCACAGAAGACCCUUUCGGAAUCAAAGUUAGCAAUAGGAGUAUUUUGUAUUAAAAAACUUGCUAUGGUAAUUAAUGCAUUCUCUCUUUCAAUGAUUACAUGGAUUUGAUUCAAAUUGUGUUGAAUUCAUUAUUUCAGAAAAAAUUAAUAUACUCUGACUGAAUUGAUGUGCUUAGCGUAAUAGUGAACUGUUUUAUAUCACCCGAAUUAGUGACAAAAUUAUUCACUCCAGAGAUGAUAGUGUUUGUAUUUCAAAAGUAAUCAGGACAGAGCGUUGGUAUUAUGUUCGGACUUUAAGCGUAACAAAUGAUAUUUUCCCAAUGUGUACAACAGGUUCCGGAGGCGGAUGGAGGCUGUCAUUGAGGCUGAUGGUACCCAGAUUCAUAAUUAACGUCCAUUGUUAUACUAAAAAUUAUUAUAAGUUAUACUUUCAAUAUAAACUAUCAUCCUGA
rnacentral:lncRNA from 1 species